GACGAACGCUGGCGGCGUGCUUAACACAUGCAAGUCGAACGGAAAGGCCCUGCUUUUGUGGUGUGCUCGAGUGGCGAACGGGUGGGUAACACGUGAGUAACCUGCCCUUGACUUUGGGAUAACUUCUGGAAACUGGGGCUAAUACCGGAUAGGAGCUCCUGCUGCAUGGUGGGGUUUGGAAAGUUUCGGCGGUUGGGGAUGGACUCGCGGCUUAUCAGCUUGUUGGUGGGGUAGUGGCUUACCAAGGCUUUGACGGGUAGCCGGCCUGAGAGGGUGACCGGCCACAUUGGGACUGAGAUACGGCCCAGACUCAUACGGGAGGCAGCAGUGGGGAAUAUUGCACAAUGGGCGGAAGCCUGAGGCAGCAACGCCGCGUGCGGGAUGACGGCCUUCGGGUUGUAAACCGCUUUCGCCUGUGACGAAGCGUGAGUGACGGUAAUGGGUAAAGAAGCACCGGCUAACUACGUG
rnacentral:rRNA from 1 species